GGCGUGCUUAACACAUGCAAGUCGAACGAUGAAAGAGAAUCCGAUCUCUUCGGAGUGAAGAAUCUCUGGAUUAGUGGCGGACGGGUGAGUAACGCGUGAGCAAUCUGCCUUACACAAAGGGAUAGCCUCGGGGAACCGGGAUUAAUACCAUAUGAUAUCUAUUAACCGCAUGGCCUAUAGAUUAAAGAAUUUCGGUGUAAGAUGAGCUCGCGUCCCAUUAAUUAGUUGGUGAGGGUAACGGCCCACCAAGAUAGCGAUGGGUAGCCGAUCUAAGAGGAUGACCGGCCACAUUGGAACUGAGAAACGGUCCAAACUCCUACGGGAGGCAGCAGUGGGGAAUAUUGCACAAUGGGGGAAACCCUGAUGCAGCGACGCCGCGUGAGCGAUGAAGGCUUUCGAGUCGUAAAGCUCUGUCCUAUGGGAAGAUAAUGACGGUACCAUAGAAGAAAGCCCCGGCUAAUUACGUGCCAGCCGCCGCGGUAA
rnacentral:rRNA from 2 species